UUAAAGUCAUGUAAAGUGGAGAAUUUGAGUUUUCCACUGAUGUCAGAUUUGCCCCUUUAAAACGUUCAGUCGCUCCGCAGUGAACGUGGUUACAUCAUCAAUUCCUGCGCAUUGAUUGGCCAGAGAAACCACGUUGUUCCGUCCACUGAGCCAAUCAGCGAGGGCUGUGAAGGCUCCUGUGUCCCGAUUGGAUGACGCCUCCAGCGUCCAUGUUUUUCCCGGAAAUUUGAACACACGGAGGAAAAACGAGACGCAGCACGAGUGUUUGUUUACAGGAAAACAUACCCAAAAAAACAGCAUAUUAGCAAAACAGAGCUCAGCAAAAAGCGAGACCAAGAUGUGAAGAUGACGGUGAACAGCUGAAGAGACGCUGCAGCUGAUCCUCGUCACAAACAGCUGAUGCAGCAGCAGGAGGAGGACAGGCAGGACACAGACCAGUUUGGAGACAUUAGCUGAUGUUUGGAAACUGCGGCGUCUCCAAAACUGAGCGAAACGACAGGCGCUGUGAGCCGCUGCAAGGCUGCUGGAAGCGAGGAGAGCUGUCUCUGCCGAGGAAGAAAAGGAUGUUUGGAGAGGGAUCACAUCAGACAUGACAUUAGAUGAGGAACACACCGCAGAAGGCUGCGUUUUGGGCCACCCUGAGACAGACCGGCACCGACUGCAAACGACCCCGAAGCAAC